rnacentral:tRNA from 1 species
GCCUGGCUAGCUCAAUCGGUAGAGCAUUUGACUCUUAAUCAAAAGGUUGCGGGUUCGAGCCCCGCGUCGGGCU